rnacentral:lncRNA from 1 species
UGGUACUGUGAAACCAGAUAUUAAAAGGUUUAAAAAUACAGUGAAACUAGAUAUAUAGGUUUCAAAAGUACAGUGAAACCAUAUAUUGAGGAAGUUUGCAGGCUAUUACAUGGAAAAAUCCAGAAGAGUUGAAAAAAAAUACAAACAGUCACUGACAUGACUAAUUCUUAUUGCUAUAUUCCAAUAGAACAUAUACAGAAAAAGACCACUUUAGUAUCAUAUGGAAAAUAUCGUCAACAAGUGAUGAUGCCCCUAAACACAUGAAUAACGUUCACUCAAACCAAAGUUUGGAUUGAAAUGCAUCGAACUCUAAAGUUGUGUACUGAACUAACUAAAGUCUAGUAAUAAAUACAUGUGUUAAAAUCAGAAUAACAGUAAACAAUUAACCUUAUUUAAACCAUCUAACUUUAAAGAGGGGAGGUCGGAGGGUCCUGAUCCCGAAAUCUCCCAGGCUUAAAAACAUGAAAUACUGAAGUCCCAAAUUAAAAAAUAUUGAAUCCUGUAAUCCUGAAAUUCGAAAAAACAAAUUAUCCAGGAUCCCAAAAGGGUUAAUCCCGAAACCUGAGCUUAAAAACACCUGAUCCUGACAUAAAAAAAAUGUCCUGCCCCCGCCCCCUCUUUAAACUUAAUCCAGUUAACAUGAGCAAAAUACUAAAACAAUGCUCAUCAUCAACCAAUACAAACAACAAUUUGAAAAUAGCUUUCAUGUAUACAUUGAUAUGAACACAACUGGUAAAAGAAAAGAAAGAAAAAAAAAAAAAACAACAACAACAAAAAAACACCUUAGUCUUCACAUGGUAAUGCUGCAUUUUCACAACCUUUUGUAUAAAUAUAUUUCAUAACAAAGUAUUUACAGUUUUUGAGUUUAUACACAUUAAAUAUCAAAGUGCAUCUUGUAUUUAGGAUCCUUUCAUGAAAAUACUUUGUAAAAUUUAAAAAAAAACACAAUACAGUCAUGACUAAGUAAUC